GUCUAGUACUCAGAGUUUGAUCCUGGCUCAGGACGAACGCUGGCGGCAUGCCUAACACAUGCAAGUCGAGCAAGUAGAUCCCUUCGGGGUGAAGCUAGCGGCGGACGGGUGAGUAACACGUGGGCAACCUGCCUCAUAGAGGGGAAUAGCCUUCCGAAAGGGAGAUUAAUACCGCAUAAGAUUGUAGCUUCGCAUGAAGCAGCAAUUAAAGGAGCAAUCCGCUAUGAGAUGGGCCCGCGGCGCAUUAGCUAGUUGGUGAGGUAACGGCCCACCAAGGCGACGAUGCGUAGCCGACCUGAGAGGGUGAUCGGCCACAUUGGGACUGAGACACGGCCCAG
rnacentral:rRNA from 1 species